rnacentral:rRNA from 1 species
AGCGAACGCUGGCGGCAGGCUUAACACAUGCAAGUCGAACGGGCAUAGCAAUAUGUCAGUGGCAGACGGGUGAGUAACGCGUGGGAACGUACCUUUUGGUUCGGAACAACACAGGGAAACUUGUGCUAAUACCGGAUAAGCCCUUACGGGGAAAGAUUUAUCGCCGAAAGAUCGGCCCGCGUCUGAUUAGCUAGUUGGUAGGGUAAUGGCCUACCAAGGCGACGAUCAGUAGCUGGUCUGAGAGGAUGAUCAGCCACAUUGGGACUGAGACACGGCCCAAACUCCUACGGGAGGCAGCAGUGGGGAAUAUUGGGCAAUGGGCGAAAGCCUGAUCCAGCCAUGCCGCGUGAGUGAUGAAGGCCCUAGGGUUGUAAAGCUCUUUUGUGCGGGAAGAUAAUGACGGUACCGCAAGAAUAAGCCCCGGCUAACUUCG